GCAGCAACAACACCCGAAGUAGCAAAUGUAGAUAAAUUUAAUGUUGAUGAGCAAGCAAAAGAUAAUUCCAUUUUUGAAUAUGAAUCAGUAAGUAGCGGACAUGAAGAAAUUGAGCAAGAUGAUGAGCAAGAUGAUUUAGGGACACAACGUGAAGAUGAUCAAUCCAAAGAAGAUGAAAAAGCUAAUACUAAUGAGGAAAAUCAAGAGGUUGAAGAAGUUGUACGUGAAUAAGUGAUGGGAAAUCUUAGAAGUGAAGGUGAACGAGGUUCUACAAAAGAAAAAAAAUGGAAAGUAGGCAGUUUCAAAGCUCGUGUCGUCAAAGAUUUUCAGUAGCAAAAGUUCAAGUGAAUCUGCGAAUAAUGUUCAUAGCGAAUUUGAAUCGGAAACUGAUGAUAGUGAGGAGGAAGAAAAGGAUAUUGAAACAAAGAUGAAGAUUGUGAAUAGAAGGAAAGGAAAACAGUCAAUAGAUUUUCAAAGUCAAUCAACUUGUAGGUUGACUAGAAGUCGUGCUUUGCAAUUGAGUUUAGCUUCUCAAGAAAGUAUUGUUGGCAAAAAUAUGCAAUUGGUAAAGCAUAAUUCAAAGAAGGAUGUUACAUCUACGUCUAUUGUUGUUAAACUUAAAGAGUGAG